rnacentral:rRNA from 1 species
UACGUAGGGUGCGAGCGUUGUCCGGAAUUACUGGGCGUAAAGAGCUCGUAGGUGGUUUGUCGCGUUGUCCGUGAAAACUCACAACUCAAUUGUGGGCGUGCGGGCGAUACGGGCAGACUGGAGUACUGCAGGGGAGACUGGAAUUCCUGGUGUAGCGGUGGAAUGCGCAGAUAUCAGGAGGAACACCGGUGGCGAAGGCGGGUCUCUGGGCCGAUAUGCGCUGAGGAGCGAAAGCGUGGGGAGCGAUCCGG